AACGCGCGGAUCUUCCCCCAGGAAAUCAUUAAGUUCCCCGCCGUGCUCGUCGACAGCGCCACCGGCCGCAUCGAGUCCGUCUUUUGCAGGUACGUUCGUCCAAAACAUCACCCUGUGCUGAUCCAGUUUUGCAGGGAACUCACUGGCAUCCAGCAGAAGGACGUCGACGGCGGCGUGGAUCUCGGCGAGGCGCUCUGGCUGCACGACACUUGGUUGAAGGCGGCGACGGCGGGGGCAGGGAACAAGAGACGCGUCCGCCUGGCCGUCGUGACAUGGGACUGGGACUGCCGCACCAUGCUGGAGUUCGAAUGCCGCUUCAAGGGCAUCGAGAAGCCCUCCUACUUCGAUGAGACUCCCCUUCCAGGCGGCACUCGGUGGCGGAGGGCGGGUCAACCUGCAGGAUGCGGUCCGGGCGGCGGGGCUGGACUGGGAGGGCCGCCUGCACUGCGGGCUGGACGACGCCCGCUACACUGCGCGGCUGCUUGUUGA
rnacentral:rRNA from 1 species